AUUAUAGAACGUGGGGAGCAUGAGAAAUACACGGAGGUGGAAACGCCGGAGUGGCUGGCGGGUAAAGGCAGCGGGCGCAGAUGAAGCGGGCUGGGCGUCCCACGCGCAGAACCGUCCCGGACAGAAGCCGCAGGGCUGCGCUGGCUGGAAAAAGGAACGCGAGUACAGCGCGCGUGGCGCGGGGUCUGCUCCAGGACGGAAUCUUUUGGGUGGCCCGCAUGAGGGGUUUGCAGGACCCCGGGCCUUUGGGAAGUUAUCUGCUAAACUCCAGUAGACCCUGAGGAGCAGCGGCUCAUGAAUCUUCUUAAACUUCUGUCAUCAGCGGCUGGGCCAGCUGAAGGUGACCAUGGCACACGAGGGAGAGAGAAGCCCGCGAGAGGCGGAGAAAUGUGGGGUCGUCCAGGAGGGUCGACAAGGCAAAGAACCUGAAGACGACCCAAAAGGGUACCUAGGUGGGGCCCUUUCAGGGACUUGGGGCAUAGGGUAGGGCGCAUGGGACGAGGUGGGUGAGCGCAAGGGACGAGAUGGGUGUGCGCAUGGGACGAGGUGGGUGGGAGCAUGAGACGAGGUGGGUGGGGCGGUGGGUGAGGUCUCCGCCCCCAGACGGGCUGGCGAGGAAGCAGGGAAGAAGUAACGUUGGGCUGGUGAGGCAACAGGUGGGGCGCACUGGAGCUGCGGGAUAAUAGGUGGAACAAACUGGGGACUACACUCGUGGGCGCACGUGCGGAAGAGGGACUGAGGAGGUUCUUGCGUGCUCCCCUCGAGCACCGCCGACAGCUUCACCCGCACCUCCUGCCUUCCGCACCGCUGACUCCUACCGCUCCGCGCACUGCGCGCCCCCAGCCCUAGUGCAGCCAGCUCCCGGCCGGGUCCGCGCGAGGGCCAGGCUGCCAACCUGCCCGCGGGCGGCUGGUGGUUGGGGAGGGCGUUGGGAGGAGGAGUCCCGCCGGGUGGACGCGCGCCCUUCAGCGGCGGAGGCGGAGGCGGCAGCGGCGAGGCCUGAGGGUGCGUGCUAGGGAGUCCUGGCGCGUCCUUCUUCUGCCGGCGUCCCCCUGCGCUUGCAGCUGCUCCCCGACGCCCGGGAGGCCCACCCGCUAGCCGCGAUGGGCGCGCAGAGCCCAAAAGGGCGACCCCCAAACAAAACUCACGCAUAUAAAUCCUCCAGAGACUUCCUCAUCCCCCCGCCAACACACACACACCCACACACACAUACACACAAUCAAAUCAAAUAGAAGCACUGUUAGGAAUUUUAUAUUGGCUAUGCAAAGUGCUUGAACGCACUGACUUUGGAGGCAAAUGCCUUGUCCCUAGUCCUGACUAGUCCAGAAUUUAUUUGCUGUGACCUAUGGCAAAUUGCUUGGUUUCUCUAAGCCUCCAUUUCCUAAGGCUUAUAUCUGAAAAUAACUAUAAGAGGAAAGGAUGCUAUUGUAUCCAACUCAGAGGGCAGUCCUGAUACUUACAUUGCGAGAACAUGUUAAGUGUUCCAUAAAUGGCAGAAGGGGCUGUGGAAGUUCAGUGAUUAUAGGUAGUUUAAUUUGUCUUAGUUUUCCUUUGUGAAAGCAUAAAUUACACCAGAGAAAGUCACAUAUGUAAGGAAUACUUUAUGCAAAGCUGUUGUCCUAGGGAAGAGAGACCAGAACUCAGUCUAAACUAACUCUGCUGAAACAAAGUGGGGCAGGGUUUUUAAGCUCUAGGAUGAGAGUAGAAAGGUGCUGGAGGGCUGUCGGAAGCAUACUGAGUUGUUUGCUGAGUUUACAAGUGUUUCCUCCGUGAUUAGGCCAGCUGUGUUUGCUAAUUGGCUCUCAGGGAAGUUAGGCUCCUACCCUCCCACAGAAACUGGGAGAUAGGGGGACCGUCUUCCUUGAUGAUUGCAUUUCAAAGGAAUGGCUCCCAGGUCCUUGACAAAGAUGAUUCUGGUUUGUAAAACUAGUAAGAGGCUAUUAAAAAGAGUUACAGAUAUCUCAAGACAGAGAAAGAAUUUACAGUGAAAAGCUUUCUAAAGAAAAUGCUCUGUAUUAAUCUGUUUUCACACUGCUGAUAAAGACAUACCCAAGACUGGGCAAUUUACAAAAGAAAGAGGUUUAUUGGACUUACAGUUCCACGUGGCUGAGGAGGCCUCACAAUCACGGCAGAAGGUGAAAGGUAUAUCUCACAUAGUGGCAGACAAGAAAGCUUGUGCAGGGAAACUCCCCAUUUGAAAACCAUCAGUUCUUAUGAGACUUACUCACUAUCAUGAGAAGAGCACGGGAACAACCCAUCCCCAUGAUUCAGUCAUCACUCACAGGGUCCCUCCCAUAACACGUGGGAAUUAUGGGAGCUACAAGAUGAGAUUUGGGUGUGGACACAGAGUCAAACCAUAUCAUGCUCUAAGAAAAGAAAGUUUUGGGCCUAGAGUCAGGAAAAAGCCUUUUCAAGUCAAGCUGAGAACUUUAAGGUGGUCUUGGCUACCUCAUUUUAUGCAAAGUAGGCAGAAAAUUUAAAAGAAAAGAAACAUAUUUAAGUACAAUUAAGAAAAUUACAGUGUUUCAGUUAAAGCAGUUCAGUGCUUUUUAGAAAAGGAGCUGAAAUUAAAUAGUAAGUAUAAAUUUAAUUCUAAUAAUUCAGGGCUAUGAACCAUGUAAUUGCUUAAUUUCCAAUAACUAUUUGUUCUUUUGCGACUACAGUUUGGCAGGUUGCCCUAAUAAUUUUCAGGCAUUUUAGGUUCAUGCUCCUUCCAACCCUCCUUUUCCCUUACAAGGGUUGCAUCCAAGUUAUGAGGGAUAAGGGUGGGGGGUGUUUCAUAUUUAGGACCAGGAUGUUGAUGUGUACUUAUUCCUGGCCAGGCUGUUUUGGAGUCAGGACUCUUGCGCUAUAAGAUCCCCCAAAUCUAUUUUGGGAAUAGUGAAAGGGAUGGGAUGAUGCUGAGGAGCCGGGCUUCGGCAUUUCCUUAUUGUGCAUUAUUUCCAAUCCGUUGUUUUACCCUGGAAAGGGUCAACUGAAAGAACUGGCCAUUGUCUUUGUAGGUAUUAAGUAUUGCUCUGUCUUCCCCGAGACCAAAAAAUAAAAGAUUGAAUGAGGGAUGGUACUGAAUUGAAAACUUAUGGUUAAUAUUCCAAAACAUUACCCACUAAAAGAGCAAGAGAAAAAAGUUAGUGGGAGAGUGUUUCAGAUGAUUCCUUCUUCACAGGUUUACCUGUUCCCCCACCUGAAGAGUUAAUUAGAAAAACAAUACAGGUACAUUACAUAAAAUUCAAACUCUAUAGACAUACAAUUUGUAAAAUGUGUAAGUCCCCCAUUUUCCACCUCCUGAGGACAUACUAUCAACAGAUC
rnacentral:lncRNA from 1 species